rnacentral:misc_RNA from 1 species
CAACCCUCAAGCACGGCUUGUGUUAUGGGCCGUCGUCCCCUACUCGCUAGGUGGACGCGUCCGAAAUGCAGUGACGGUAGCCGCGACUCCGGUGCCCGAGUGAAUGGAGGAUAAUACCACCGCUCGUUUGGCCCGGCCGGCUCCGGUCGAAAUCAUUUAUUUCUUA